CUAAUUAUACAAGCGCCAUACAAUUUAGGUGGUGUUUAUUGAAACAUAAUACUUGCUAUCGUGAUACUGUAUUGUUCAUCGCUUCAGCUCGGUCACGCGCCUCUAGUGGGAGUUUGCGUUUGUCCCUGUUUCUCCUGAGGCAUCAUGACCUGCCUGCACUUGCUGUUGACUUUGGUCUUUGCUGUCAGCUUGGGGACACCUGUAGAGAUUCAACGGCCACGAGGAGUGCCUCUGACAAAGAAACCGUUUUAUGAGGAGAACAAGCCUUUCACCUGUCUCGAUGGAUCCCGGACUAUUCCUUUUGACCGAGUGAAUGAUGACUACUGUGACUGCAAGGAUGGUUCAGAUGAGCCAGGUACUU